UAGGGAAUCUUCGGCAAUGGGGGGAACCCUGACCGAGCAACGCCGCGUGAGUGAAGAAGGUUUUCGGAUCGUAAAGCUCUGUUGUUAAGGAAGAACGAGUGUGAGAAUGGAAAGUUCAUACUGUGACGGUACUUAACCAGAAAGGGACGGCUAACUACGUGUCAGCAGCCGCGGUAAUACGUAGGUGGCAAGCGUUGUCCGGAUUUAUUGGGCGUAAAGCGAGCGCAGGCGGUCAAUUAAGUCUGAUGUGAAAGCCCCCGGCUCAACCGGGGAGGGUCAUUGGAAACUGGUUGACUUGAGUGCAGAAGAGGAGAGUGGAAUUCCAUGUGUAGCGGUGAAAUGCGUAGAUAUAUGGAGGAACACCAGUGGCGAAGGCGACUCUCUGGUCUGUAACUGACGCUGAGGCUCGAAAGCGUGGGUAGCAAACAGG
rnacentral:rRNA from 1 species